AUUAGCUAGUUGGUGAGGUAACGGCUCACCAAGGCUUCGAUCAGUAGCCGACCUGAGAGGGUGAUCGGCCACAUUGGGACUGAGACACGGCCCAAACUCCUACGGGAGGCAGCAGUGGGGAAUAUUGCACAAUGGAGGAAACUCUGAUGCAGCGACGCCGCGUGAAGGAAGAAGGUCUUCGGAUCGUAAACUUCUAUCAGCAGGGACGAUAAUGACGGUACCUGACUAAGAAGCCCCGGCUAACUACGUGCCAGCAGCCGCGGUAAUACGUAGGGGGCAAGCGUUAUCCGGAAUUACUGGGUGUAAAGGGUGCGUAGGCGGUAAUGUAAGUCAGGUGUGAAAGCCCGAAGCUCAACUUCGGGAUUGCAUUUGAAACUACAUAACUAGAGUACAGGAGAGGUGAGUGGAAUUCCUAGUGUAGCGGUGAAAUGCGUAGAUAUUAGGAGGAACACCAGUGGCGAAGGCGACUCACUGGACUGUAACUGACGCUGAGGCACGAAAGCGUGGGGAGCGAACAGGAUUAGAUACCCUGGUAGUCCACGCUGU
rnacentral:rRNA from 1 species